AGGACCGAUCAAUCCCAGAUUGGAGGCCUUUUUCUUGUUUUUUAUUCCCAUAAUUUUCCGACCAUUCCCCGAUAACCAAACAAGGAUCAAGUGAGAUGCUCCAAAGUCCAAAAAAAUUAUUGACAAACCAGGAGGCUUGUCGACAGAAGAUUUUACGGAGCAAAUGGAGCUAUACCCUAUUAUCGACAGAGAAGUAUGUUGCUUCAUUAUUUCAUGCAACAACUCGGCCAACUUUGAUAAGUUAUUGAUUGGCUCGUAAAGCGUUCAAAAUGAAAGAAUUGAAUUUUAAUUCCUGUACUUGCACUGAUGAUUAUGGCAAUUUUAAGCGGCUGCUUAGUUUGAUUGAAGUGGCAUCUACUAUGUCUAACCGGUUUAUUGAAAAAAAUAAAACUUCAACAGUUUGAUGAAAAUAAUACCAGAAGAUCUCUGGUAACCUCAUCAAGGAGUCCAUUGAGCAAAUGCUUCUCCACACCCCUUAUGAUAUCGUCUUUUUCGAUACAUGUAAACAUCAUUUCGUGCCAACCAAUAUCCCACAUACAAUUCACAUCUGGAUCCUUGCUAUAAACAUCAUUUUCAAGCAUCUUUGGUAGGUAGUCUUCAAUAACGCAUUCCUCUCUACCAUUUCUACCAUAGAAUUUUAGCUUCUCAAAGUCCUUAUGCAAUUGCUUAACUAAGUCAUCCAAGGAUAUUACCUUCAGACAAACAAUAGAAAUCCUCAUAAAAGGAUGAAUGUUAAGCUCCUGCCUUUUCCCUUUUCUUUUCAUUACUUCGUAGCCGCAAUCUAGUAGAAGCUUGCUCUCUUCAUCAUGACAAUCAUGACCAUCACCGGCAUGGAGAAUGUCAAAUGGAAUAUUGAGCUUGAAAAGUGCCUCUGCCGUGUUGAGGAAUAGAUGAGUUUUUAUCAGGAUCUGCUUGAGGUGAUUUUCACUUUCUGUUAAUGGCUCUAUUGUUUCCAACACUGAUGCUUUAUUAUUCUUCAACUGUGCUCCAUGAAUUCCUGCAAAUAUCCAAUAAUCAACUCUUGCAUUGGAAGCCUUUCAUUAUAAAGAGCUUUUGGGUUCGAGUUGGUCUUCACUCAAAUAAGGUGUCUACUUUAUAUGGGAAAUUAGAUUUGAUACAUGAACUAGAGCAUUUGGAACAUGGAAUGAUUGCCACCUUUGUUUUAAUCUCUACUUAGCUGUUCUAUGGAUAAAGAAACCAGUGCUUUGAGAAGUGAAAUAAACAAAAGUGUAUUACUUACGACCAAGUGUAUCCAAUACACUACUGUGAGAACUGAGUUUGUCUAUGCCAAAAUCAUAAUCUUGACCUUGUUGAUUGUUUAUCCUUGGUGGCUGCACAACUCCCAGAAAAGCUUUUAUUAAUUCACUACUUUAGGGUAAAGAAAAGUUUACUAAAGUAGCUUAUAGUUGGUAAUAAGUUUAGCUCCCAUAGUAGUGUUUAUUUAUUUGAUCUGAAGUUUUAAACUGCAGUAAGGAACAGACUUACAUUUUCUUUUGGAGCUAAGAUUUCUGGUACUAUUAGGCUUUGGCACUCAUCAUUCACAGGAGGACUGCGCAAGUUGGAAGGCUCUUUAGCUUGGCUCUGUAAUUCCUCCAAAUUUCUUGAUUGUUGUGUGCUCAGUAAUGAUCUGUUGCAUUUGAGAAUAUGUGCCUCUGCUGACCUGCUGGAUCUCACUGGCUCUUCUUCUUUGAUUCGACUAAUUCUGUAUUGCUUUCUCUGCUUUACUUCUUGCAAUAUGGAUGUCUGGUGUUUCAUUGUUUUCGACGAGUUGUGAGGAUUACCACUUUUCCUUGCCACUAGUUCAUCAAUCUUUCGAGGAGCUUCAGGUUUUUGGACUUUUGAAACUUUUACCUUCUGCUCAGAUGGUAUACGAGUAGGUUCCUCUUCCAUAUCUGGUGAAAUUAUGGCUCUUUGUUGCUCUUUUACUAAUUCAGAGUUGAGAUUUCUUGGUGAGGAAUUAUUACUUGAGUUCCUAUGCAAAUAAUGUUGCAUGUUUUCAUUCGAAGGAGGAGAACUCAUGUCCUGGAUAAGAUUUCCAUGGUGUCUCUGACUUGGAACUCUUGUGGAUUGAAUUGCGCCGAUUGAUUCUGUGGAGCUUUCAUUACUAGGUCUUGGCUGGCUUGUAUGCGGAUGCUUUUGUGGAAAAUUUACAGAUUCAUUUGUGGUUUUUGGCAAACUCCUGGACUCACUUUGUAUUUGUUUUUCUAUCUUUUGUUUAUCACUAUGCUGCUCACUCUCUCCAGCAUAGUGCUUUUGUGACUCAAAAUUUUGGUGCAUUUGUGGCUGUUGGAGUGCAUGACUGUUCAGAGACUUUGGUUCAUUGCAGGGUGGCAGCAUGUGUGCAUCUCUCCUCUCUGUUUUAAGCGUGGUCAAAUUGUAUUCUGCUUGCCCUUUCAGUGUAAUUGGAGGUUCUAAUGUAUUUUGUUUCUGCAGCGUCAUCUGCUGUAGUUGAUUCUUUAGCUUCAUUUCUUUGCGUUCACCUUUUCCUUUACCCUUCUGUUCCCUUAGCUUUGAGUCAUCCUGUUUUCUCUCUUUCUCCUGAAUUUCUUUUCUAUUUCCUAUGCUUCGGCCUGAUUGAUUUCUGUUGUUCUGUUGCUUAUCAAUUUUCAUGUUGGCCUUGUUUGAGCUUCUCAUAGGUUUUGUCCCUUCCACAUCUUUCUGUGGUGCUUUCUUAUCAUGGAUAGUUUCUUCAAAGCUAGCUUGAUGAUUCUCUAGGUUCUUUUCUGCUUGCAGACCAUGCAUCGUGUCUUUAGUCACUUGGUCGGGCUGUAUCUGUUUGUAAUUUCUGUUUGGGGACCCAAAAUUCCCAGUGUCUUUUGUCUUUCGUUCAUGUAUAGCGCUUCCCUCUGCAGUUUUCUUUGUAACUGUUCGCUCCAGUUUUUCCCUGGAAUUAGACUCUUUCUUUGUGAUAAUCUUUGAAUCAUCAUUCUCUGGAAGUUCUUCCAGCCCCAUCAGUUUUGCAAUUACAUUUGGUAUUCUUCCCUUUUCGGGUUUGGAAAUUGAUGAACCUAAAGGAUUCUUCUGCUCUGAGAAUGCCACAGGAUUUUUCAUGUUGGGGCUGUAGCUAGCAGAUCGCCUGUGGCAAGCUGAAUUUGAGGUACUUAAAUUGUAUGCAUCAUGGACAAAAUCUGCAGUGUCUGAUUUGUAAGUCAGGGCCAUCAGCCUCUGCUUGAGCUCACUCCUUGCAACUUCCUGGAUGUAAUGAGAAUUUCUUGAAGGCUUGUCAAAAGAGAACAUUGGCCGAGCAAGUUGCUUAUUUUCAGCAGUUUUGACUGUGCCGUGGUCUUCAUCUUCAUCAUUAUCAAGCAAUGUGAUUCGAGUUUUGUUCUGUGGGCUGAUCAUGUACUCAGAAGCUUCUUGCAAGUUUACUAGCAUUCGCAGGGAUUCUUCUAAAUCCAUAGCCCCUUUCAAUAGUUCCUUUCCAAUUUCUAUUGAAUAUCUGUCAAAGUUGAGGCCAUUAGAGCAAGCUCUAAGUAUCUGAUUUAGUUUUUGUGCGCCUUUUGAUAUUUCUUUGAUAUGGAGAUGAGAGAGGGUAGGUAAAUGGUUAGUUGCUGGGCCAUGUCUAUCAAUGGUGCCUGUUUCCGUGUUGCCCAUGCCUACUGAUUGUCUGCCAAUUUGAUUCAGGAAACCCAGAAUUGAACUAUUGCCUGACGAGUCCAUUCGUCUCAGUGUUCCUCCAUUCUCAAGGGCAAAAGCCAGUGCCAUGGAUAGAUCUCCAAUUUGUUCAGAGUUGCGAUCUCUCCCAAAAAGUACAAUCUCUCUUGAAGCUUCUCCAAUGGAGAGCGAUUUAUUGCCUCCAGCUGUUCUGUUAUGUGUACUUCCAUUUCUAAAGCCAGUCUGCAGAAAUAAAGCAAUUUAGGUAAUUGAAGUUUGUGUGAUCUGCUUUGACUGGCAGCAUCUUCAGCCAUGAGAACUUACAGUUUGAUGUCUUUUCAUUUCUCUGGAUCCGCUAUAAGCUUGCUUGGAAUAAGAAUAUGCAUCUGUAUAAACACACAACAUAUAGAAAAUAAUGAUACUUCUGGCCAAACCAAAGUUUAUGAUAUGUCAAUCUACAUGGCACAUUGAUCUCUUUUGAUGACAGCAUGCAAGGCUUUCUGUAUGUACAGCCACUCUCUAGUUUGAGAUAUUCUUAUUCUAAAAUUUAUUUUCCUAAGUUAGUUAAAAAUGAAUAAGCCUGCCUUUACACAGCCAAAAUUUGCAAUUUCUCAUUGGCUUCAAAAUUCUCUUUCAUUAUAGAUAAACUAUUUCUCCUCUUUAUUCGGUUUUUAUUUUAUUUCCGGCAUGUGAUUCACAAAGGGGUACCAAUUGGCAAUUUGAAAUUACCAACUACUUUUUUUAAAUUGCUUUUUUUAUAUGAAUUGAAUUUCUUUACUGGUAUUCUCUGAAAUAUGUGUAUGUGGACUAUAUGAAUAUAACUGUCAAAAAUUUGUUUGUUUCAUUUUCGCCUUUUUUUCAUUUUUCCUUUUUCUCACAAAUUCUCUUUUGUUCCUAGCUUCUGAAGAAACACUAUGUCAUUAGCUAAAUCACAUUAAGCUGUUGGUUGUUGUGCUGGGAAUCUACCUGAGUCAGCAAUGGACAAUUAAACUGAUUAGCUUGUUUGCUUAAUAUUAUUAUGAUUAAAUUAAAUUUGAAUGGAAUAUGAUGCACAUGUCAUGAAUGUGUGGAAAUGUAAUACUGAAUACAAUGUCUUGCUGGUGUACUUUCAGAAGGGGCAAAGAAGGGAUCGUUGUUUUUUUUCUUUAUUUAUAUGAUGCUUCCUAGUGAUCCCUUCCCAAUUUUGCAUUAAAAAAAUCUGUUGAUGCCUGCUGCAUUUGGAAAUUGCUUAAAUUAAUUGAACAAUAAUCAAUAUUUACAGAAAACAAUUGUUCAUUAUAGAGGCCUAAACAGCUAGUUAGCAACUUAAACUUGAAGUUGCUCUUCUGUUGAACUCUCUCCUGGGGAACCAUAAAUUUAUUCUAAUUUUUAGACAGCAUUAAUGUGCAGGUGCACUUUUAAUAUUUUCACUUUUGUGCUGCAUUUUUUAUGAUAUUUUUCAUAGAAACAUUGUAUAAAUGAAAAGUUCCAAACGUAUUUCUACAGUUUAGAACUAUUCAAAUUCGUUGAAUUCACAUUAGAUUUGAAGAUGAAGGGUGAAAUGUUGUACAGUGGGGUGCGCGCAAUGUGAAAUUUCAUUAGAUUGCCUGCUUACCUCCGGUUCUUGGCUUUGAACUUUUUGAGCUCUGAGAUGCAGCCAUUCGUUCCUUCCGCACCCGGAGAUCAUCUAACAGCUUCUGUGCAAAGUCUGAUCUCUUCGCCAUCUUUGCCUCUCAGCAGAAACUGAGUUCCAAAAACUCUCUUCGUACCAAAAGAAAUGGUUCUUUCACAGUUGGGUGAGGUGGGAAGUCCAGUCCAAAGAAAUGUAAUGGAAUUUUGAAAAUUUUCACUGGAAAGAUUAACGUGGACGUUAUGCCUUACUCUCUCUCUUUCUCUCUCUCUCCUGGGCGGAGGGUGUCCUGACUUUGAUUCUAAUCCAAGCAAUGACAGAGGUUUCAAAGGGCUUCUUUUCCAAGCCUUCAUAGCUACCAUCUUUUCUACUUUGUAAAUUUACAUUAUUCUUUACUUAUUAUUCUCCAAUUUACGUUUUAAAACAAUGUCUAUUCUAAUUGCUCCUCUUAAUUUAUGAUUGUUAAGCAAAAAAUAGAAAUAAAGAAAAGAGAAAGUCAUAAAGACGUAUGGGAGCAUGGCCAGAACACACAUGCUGCACAUAUUAUAGAUUCUAUGGAGUUGGCUUCUUUUAGAGUGGAUUGAGUAGCUUGGAAUAUUUUGCUUGUCAGGAAUCAUGCAAAGUGUGCAAACUUACCUUUCAACGGGGGAAUACUGCAAGUGGAGCCAUGGCUCCAACUGUGGAAUGUUAAGAGGAUAAGCAUGUAUUAGUGGGUGGAGAAGGAUUGUCAAGUGUUCUUAAUCAAAAUAAGAAUCCUUAUCUGGUAACUCCAUCAGGCUGUGCCUGUAUGUACUUACAGUUGGCCAAUCAAUAGGUAUUCUACUACUUCAUGAAAUCUAAACUUCACCUGCUAUCCUCCUUUUAAGACUACAAAAUAACAAUGGUGUCAGCAAUCAUAAUCAAUGUAAAUGUUUGAGCAAAAACUUGCCAUUUUGUCAAAUUUCAUAAUUCAACAUUUUUUUUU